rnacentral:lncRNA from 1 species
AUGAAUUUCUUGUCCCGUUGUUGCGAUUUCAUCCACUUCUAUUAGGGAAUUGUCCCAUAGAAUAACCAAUCCAUCGGAGUUUCCCACUGCGGGAACUUGGAUCAUUCUUGUUAACUGGAAGUCGUCAACUAGACUUUGGUGGUCUUGCAUUUUGGUUUCAAUUAGGGCUACCAAUGGUGGAUUAUGACAGCUUAUUAAGGACCUAAAGUUCCUCCAAAAUUCAGAGCCAUUACAUCCCC